AGCAGCCUCCUGGAGCCAGAGCAAAGAGCAUUACUGGGGUAGAAGUGUCAGUUCCAUCAGGGAGACACAGCUGCACACAGUUGUUACCAGCAGCCUGAGUCACUCCCUUUGAUGUUUGGGACCUCCACUCAGAGAUGCUGAGCCAGGUGCCAUCAUGUAGCAGGCAAAGGAGUUGCAGUUUUGGGUGCCAGAGCUCUGAAGAGAGGUCUUACAAGCAAAAGAAAAUCCAAUGUUGAUACAUGCAUUCUCUCUCGAGGUUCUGGGGUGGGAUCUGGGCCUUCUCAUUCCAGGUCCAGGGCCACCUGUAUUCCUU
rnacentral:lncRNA from 1 species